CCACGGCCAAAAGUUUAGGCUCGUAGCCGCCAUCUUAAGAGGAUUUGUUUUGGUCGCAACAUCAGCUGUCGGCUCAUGAGCGUAUUUCCGGUGACCUGCUGUUCAACAUUUUUGUUGAUUCUCUGAGGAACGCUUGUGACGGCAACUUACUUUAUAUAGUGGACUUCAGAGGCAAACCUCAUUGAUGAUGAUAUUAAGAAGAUGGUAGUGUGGCGCCGCAUAAAGAAUGGCAUGUCUGUGAUUUUGCUGUUAGCAUUUAUUUUUUAUAUUGGGUAUUGUACAAAGGAACUGUACACCCGCAUAUUAAACAACCGUAAAUACAGUCGCCUCAUAGAAUAUGAAAAGGAGAUUGAUGCCCUGACCAACAUGCUGGGGGAUUACAAGAAAGACGCCAACAAAGUGCAGCGAAGCCUCCAGCUCUUACGUGAGGCUCUUGACCAGGUGGUAGUAAACAGAAGACCAAAAAGUAUUAGCAAUAGAUGAUGUCUGUUGAUAAACCCAGAUGAGGUUACCUGAAGAUCUGUUUACUAGGGAUAAUAUUUUUAGGUGUAGUAUGUGCUGGUCCUUAGCUCUAUACAGAUGAGGGUAGAAUACAGACUCAGGAUAGUGAGACAGGAGUGUGAACUCUCUCAUUUGUCUUCUUUCUGCCAAAAUCUUUGUUUACUAAAAUGAUAACUUCUCUCAUCAGCAAGACAUUAUUGCAAAUGCUGUUAUAUGGCAAGUCCUUCUCUCUUAUCUUUUACAUUUCUGUUCAUUCCUCCUGUCCUCCAUCUGUGGAUAUUUAGCAAACUUUUUAUCCUUUAUUACAAAACUCAAGCAUGUAAAUGUCAAAUUAAAGGCCACAAUGAGAUAUUAAUGGGGAAUAUGAGAAAGGAUUCUCAGACUUUGUUUUUUCUGUGGAUACUACUACUGUGUAAUUAAAUUAAAUUGGUGCACUAAGUUAGAAAUAGUGGUCUGUAGAUUGUCAGCUGUAGAUUUAGAAAAAUGUCAUUGAUAUUAGCAAUCUUCCUAAAUUUGUUGAUAUUUUUUUAGGAAAUUAAAUUGUUUAUUAGUGCUUUUCCAUAAUGAGUUUUAUGGUUAGAGACUUCUGUGAUAGAAACUUGUGUAGAUGACACUGUUGAUGAUUUGUCACUGUUCCCAUAGAUAUGAAAUGUUUGGGAGACUUUAUAUAUAUCUAACUAAUACACUUGUAGAUUCCUUUUAGGAUUAAGUUAUGCCUGAUUAUUAAUUCUGUAUCGUAUAGUUAUUUAACAGUAUAUGUCUUUCUUUGAAGAGGAUUCGGUAUAUUUAAAGUAACUAAAUCCUCUUUUUUCUCAGUAUUAAGUUAUCAAUGAUACAUCUGACCUGCACUUGCCUAGAUCUCUCCAUGGUUUAGCAGGUUAUGGUAAUGAUGGCAUCAACAUCAUCCUAUGUAUGUAGUUAAGGCUUAUAUUUAUUAGCAGUUUCGUUUAUACUAAGAUUACUCCUUUGAGUGCGGCUCUUAGUUUAUGUUUGGCUUGAUUGAGAGAGAAGUGUGAGCUUCAGUUUGUACUACUUAUAAGGUGAAUUUAUAUUUGAAUACUUUCAUAUGCCAAUAUCAUGAGAAAAAAUUCAAAAUCCCCAUGCAUCCAGUCAUCCAUCAAUGUAACAAAUAUCCUACUUUUGUAGAGUUCCUAGUUCUUCCUUAAAUUUUGUUACAUGUUUGCAUAUUACACUUAUGUAGUAAAAAUCAAAACCUGCUAUAGUACCCAUCCCUAUACCCAUCAUUAUUUGUAUAUGAUUAGAUGCACGUAAAGGUGUUUCUCAUAUAUAUAUUCCUUGUUGAUAUGGUGGAAGUUUAUGCAUCUUGCAUACACUUAUUGUGGUACUUAAAGACUUGAUCAACUUUUUAUCUAAAAUAUUGUUACCUUGAUUAAUGAAGGAAAAAUGGAAUUACCAUAUGUGGUCUGCUUUUGGACAGUUAUUCUUCAAAGUGUAAUUUUAUUUGAUUCAUUUUUUCCCAAAGUAUUGUCAUUUCAUUUUAGUAAAUACCAGGUUUUCAUUUGUAGAAAGAGAGCUAUUUCUCACAAUAGAAGCAACUAUUUUUAGAAACUGCUUGUUUACAAUGUAGAUUUUGAUAAAUUAACAAUGCCUGCAGCUAUUCAUAGUCUAGAAUAUAAUGUAUUUUCUUGUAGUGAGAUCCCCCCCCCACACACACAAAAAAAAAUAGUAACAACAAUGCAUGAUUAAAAAAAUAAAGACUGAUAUCCUUUGCUAUUGAUGAUUUAUCUGGUACUUUUAAUUUAUGAUAGUAUUUGACUUAUACAGUUUGAUAAGCACUCUGUAUAUAGUUUAUCAGUACAAGGCAUCUCUAGAAUUCCAGAAUGAAGUUAGUUAUUGUUAUAUAUACCCAGUGGUGUAGCUGAAGUGGAGAGGGGCAAUUUUUCACUUUUACCCCUGUCAUACCCCUGAUGUAAGGAAACCCUCAUAUGACAAGUGAUAUUUCAUUGAUUUUAAAAAGUUUUGUUUAAGCAAAAGAAACAAAGAAGAAAAGAAAAAUGGAUAAGUUCAGAUAAGUAAAAAAUGUGUUAUGUCAUACUUCUUCAUCAAACCUUUCAAAUGUUGACAUCUUAAGGGACCUAGCCCCCUAGACCACCAAAUGUUUAGCUAGCCACUGAAUUUACCUUUAGAUCUUGGAUGUUAUCAUACAAGGCAGUAAUUUUCAGAAACAGAUAAUGAAUUACCACAGAACAGAUAUGUGAACUAUAGAACUAGAUGUUACUGAGGUGGAAAUAAGUAUUUAGGACAGCUCAUGAUUUGAGUUAUUACCCAGAGUGGUACAUGAUCUGAGAGAUGCAGAGGACUCUAUAUUCCACAUUUUUAUUUUUUUUGUUUGUUUGGUUGUUUUCACCUUUAUUUUAAUUUUUAUUGGUAAUGACAGGUGACUUGCUCAUUAAAAAUGAUUUGCAUUUCAUUAAAUUGUGCACUUGUUAUGAAAUGUUCUUCUUGUACUUGCAUGGGGUUUUUUUUUUUUUCUACCAUUCAUGUAUAUAUGUACAUUCAGUGUAAUGUAUUCAUAAAAGCUGUAUGAAAGAUCACCCUUUUUCUUCUGUUUUCUGUUUAUAUUGUAUUGUAAACUUUUCUUUCUUAAUCUUCUGGAAUUGAAAUAGUAUAAAUUUGACAGUGAGGUAUUUACAAUAUUUUGGACUGGAUAGAAUUGAGAGGUAGGUGUUUAUGGUAGAGUAUAUCCAUAAUAAUAAUCUUGCAAUCAACAUCAGUGUUAUCAGUACACACAUUUCUGUUCUUAUAUUCUAUGUGUGGGUGAGUGCAUCUGUGCGCAUGAAUAUAUGUGUGUGUGUGUGUGUGUGUGUGUCUGUGUGUCUGUGUGUCUGUGUGUGUGCGCACGCAUGUGCGCAUUCAUGAUUUUUGAUAGAUACAAUUAAUUUUACUUUCUAAAUUUUAGUUGCUUUCACAGUAAUGAUCAUAAAGAGAGCAGUUAUCCUGUACGAAGAAAAUAUUCAGAGAGUAGAAUUACGUAGAAUCUCCUUUUUCUCCCCCCCCCCCCUUUUUUUUCUUUAUCAUUUGGUUAUGGUUCUAUAUUAUUAUAAAUCAUCCAAAUCAUCUUAUAUUGAAAUAUACAAUAAGUUAAUUCUGGUACCUCAAUCUCUUUAAAAAUACUUUAUGAAUUAAUGCUUGUAUAUAUGAUAUGAAUUUUGAUGUAGUAGUACUUACAUUAUAUAUGCAGACUCUUUGUUCUCUAAGGACAUUAGAUAUUGGUGUGGCAGAAAAUUCAAAAUAAUUGGUUAAUCAGCCCUAUUGCUUUGUAUGGAGAAUAAGCUUUCAAAAAAAGGAUUGUAUUUGUACAGCGAAUGAAGUGCCUUCUGUACUGUUUUCAACCAUUAACAGACAAAUACUUGGACACUCAUGUACGUACACACACACACACACACACACACACACAUACACACACACACACACACACACACACACACACACACACACACACACACACACACA
rnacentral:lncRNA from 1 species